rnacentral:lncRNA from 1 species
CUUACACACAAUCCUAACUAAAAAUUCUAAGAGAUAUGCAGAAGAAUUGGAUCAAUUAGCUCAAUUUCUGUUACUUAUAGGGUCAAACUCAGAUCUGCAAUGUAUAAAGUGUUUUUGGCUGGUUUGAGACUUCUAGCAAGUCAGAAUUUACUCACCUAAGUGAUCCAAAUGGUCUAAAACCACCUCUAACCCUUGACUCACGAAUUCACUACCCAAGUUCCCCAAUUUGACUCAACAUCAAGAAUUAACUUAGUCUUUUACUCACAAUUUGCAGAGAAUGAAAUCCUCAUCUUUAAAACAAUAAACAUUAACAUCACAUACAUGGUCAUACAAUUUGUAAUUGAUCACUUAGCAGUUCUUAUCAAACACAAGCUAUACACAUCAAUUUUCAGCACAAGUUCUUUUUAUCUAUUUCAAAAUAAAGGAAUC